CAGAUGAAGUCUGCCGCUCCACCAUGCCUGAUUCAAAGCUGACCGGUGUCAAGAUUCAACAAUGUCUUCUCCAUCAACAGGUGCAUGACGGCUGACGUGGAUGUCAUUGCACCCCUGGGUCAUCUUUAAGGCGAUACCAGGAUGAGGACUUGAUGCUGUUCGGUGAUGAUAAAUAUUUCUAGUGUGGCCUACGACAGCUGCCCACCUUAGCAAGCUGACAGCUGCCCGCCUGGAAACAAAGAAAACAACAUGAGAAACAUGAUGUCCCACAACCAAGUCUAGCAAAUCAAUUUCACUAGAGUCUUGAAGGCUUCAGAGAGCAACGAUGAAAACAUCAGAGUCUUCAAGGCAUUCUACACAUCAAGGAAUCAUGGAUAAACAACCAAGCUCAUUUCCUGUAACCCGAAGAUGAGGAUGUUCCUAACAGUGCACAAUGAGUUCGGUAAAUGAACAGAAAAAAAAGCAUGAGAAGCCUGAUGUCCCACAACCAAGUCUAGCAAAUCAAUUUCACUAGAGUCUUGAAAGUUUCAGAGAGCAACGAUGGGAAACAUCAGAGUCUUCAAGGCAUUCUAUACAUCAAGGAAUCAUGGAUAAACAACCAAGCUCAUUUCCUGGAACCUGAAGAUGAGGACGUUUCUAACAGUGCACAAUCAGACCGGUAAAAGUAAAAGCUUACCAUAUACAAAGAGAUCUAUCUACAUGCAAGACUGCUGAACCCACUCUCCAAUG